rnacentral:rRNA from 1 species
AACGAACGCUGGCGGCAGGCUUAACACAUGCAAGUCGAGCGCCCCGCAAGGGGAGCGGCAGACGGGUGAGUAACGCGUGGGAACGUACCCUUUACUACAGAAUAGCUCCGGGAAACUGGAAUUAGUACCGUAUGUGCCCUUCGGGGGAAAGAUUUAUCGGUAAAGGAUCGGCCCGCGUUGGAUUAGCUAGUUGGUGGGGUAAUGGCCUACCAAGGCGACGAUCCAUAGCUGGUCUGAGAGGAUGAUCAGCCACAUUGGGACUGAGACACGGCCCAAACUCCUACGGGAGGCAGCAGUGGGGAAUAUUGGACAAUGGGCGCAAGCCUGAUCCAGCCAUGCCGCGUGUGUGAUGAAGGCCUUAGGGUUGUAAAGCACUUUCACCGAUGAAGAUAAUGACGGUAGUCGGAGAAGAAGCCCCGGCUAACUUCGUGCCAGCCGCCGCCGUAAAAC